AGAGUUUGAUCAUGGCUCAGAUUGAACGCUGGCGGCAGGCCUAACACAUGCAAGUCGAGCGGUAGAGAGAAGCUUGCUUCUCUUGAGAGCGGCGGACGGGUGAGUAAUGCCUAGGAAUCUGCCUGGUAGUGGGGGAUAACGUUCGGAAACGGACGCUAAUACCGCAUACGUCCUACGGGAGAAAGCAGGGGACCUUCGGGCCUUGCGCUAUCAGAUGAGCCUAGGUCGGAUUAGCUAGUUGGUGAGGUAAUGGCUCACCAAGGCGACGAUCCGUAACUGGUCUGAGAGGAUGAUCAGUCACACUGGAACUGAGACACGGUCCAGACUCCUACGGGAGGCAGCAGUGGGGAAUAUUGGACAAUGGGCGAAAGCCUGAUCCAGCCAUGCCGCGUGUGUGAAGAAGGUCUUCGGAUUGUAAAGCACUUUAAGUUGGGAGGAAGGGUUGUAGAUUAAUACUCUGCAAUUUUGACGUUACCGACAGAAUAAGCACCGGCUAACUCUGUGCCAGCAGCCGCGGUAAUACAGAGGGUGCAAGCGUUAAUCGGAAUUACUGGGCGUAAAGCGCGCGUAGGUGGUUUGUUAAGUUGGAUGUGAAAUCCCCGGGCUCAACCUGGGAACUGCAUUCAAAACUGACUGACUAGAGUAUGGUAGAGGGUGGUGGAAUUUCCUGUGUAGCGGUGAAAUGCGUAGAUAUAGGAAGGAACACCAGUGGCGAAGGCGACUACCUGGACUGAUACUGACACUGAGGUGCGAAAGCGUGGGGAGCAAACAGGAUUAGAUACCCUGGUAGUCC
rnacentral:rRNA from 1 species